AUUAUACCGUGAAACUGCGAAUGGCUCAUUAAAUCAGUUAUCGUUUAUUUGAUAGUACCUUACUACUUGGAUAACCGUGGUAAUUCUAGAGCUAAUACAUGCUGAAAACCCCAACUUCGGGAGGGGUGUAUUUAUUAGAUAAAAAACCAACGCCCUUCGGGGCUUCUUGGUGAUUCAUGAUAACUUUACGGAUCGCAUGGNCCUUGCGCCGGCGACGGUUCAUUCAAAUUUCUGCCCUAUCAACUUUCGAUGGUAAGGUAUUGGCUUACCAUGGUUUCAACGGGUAACGGGGAAUUAGGGUUCGAUUCCGGAGAGGGAGCCUGAGAAACGGCUACCACAUCCAAGGAAGGCAGCAGGCGCGCAAAUUACCCAAUCCCGACACGGGGAGGUAGUGACAAUAAAUACUGAUACAGGGCUCUUUUGGGUCUUGUAAUUGGAAUGAGUACAAUUUAAACCUCUUAACGAGGAACAAUUGGAGGGCAAGUCUGGUGCCAGCAGCCGCGGUAAUUCCAGCUCCAAUAGCGUAUAUUAAAGUUGUUGCAGUUAAAAAGCUCGUAGUUGAACCUUGGGUCUGGCUGGCAGGUCCGCCUCACCGCGUGUACUUGUCCGGCCGGGCCUUCCUUCUGGAGAACCUCAUGCCCUUCACUGGGCGUGUUGGGGACCAGGACUUUUACUUUGAAAAAAUUAGAGUGUUCAAAGCAGGCCUUUGCUCGAAUACGUUAGCAUGGAAUAAUAGAAUAGGACGUGCGGUCCUAUUUUGUUGGUUUCUAGGACCGCCGUAAUGAUUAAUAGGGACAGUCGGGGGCAUCAGUAUUCAAUUGUCAGAGGUGAAAUUCUUGGAUUUAUUGAAGACUAACUACUGCGAAAGCAUUUGCCAAGGNAUGUUUUCAUUAAUCAGUGAACGAAAGUUAGGGGAUCGAAGACGAUCAGAUACCGUCGUAGUCUUAACCGUAAACUAUGCCGACUAGGGAUCGGGCGAUGUUCUUUUUCUGACUCGCUCGGCACCUUACGAGAAAUCAAAGUUU
rnacentral:rRNA from 1 species